GAUCCGGUAGUCUAGUGGUAGAGUGUCCGCCUCGGAUGCGGGAGGUCAUGGGAUCCAACCCCAGCCAAUUCA